rnacentral:rRNA from 1 species
UUAAGGUAUGAAGGGCAUGCGGUGGAUGCCUUGGCACUGGCGACCGAUGAAGGGCGUAGCAAGCUGCGAUAAGCCGCGGGGAGGAGCAAGCAUCCUGCGAUCCGCGGAUCCCCGAAUGGGGCAACCUGCUUGAGCGAACCUCAAGCAUCCGGAUCAUCCGGAGGGAUACCCGGCGAAGUGAAACAUCUCAGUAACCGGAGGAAAAGAAAUCGAAAGAGAUUCCCCCAGUAGUGGUGAGCGAAAGGGGAAGAGCCUAAACGCGAAUCUCGCGCGCUAAGGCCUGCGGGCCGAUGUGCGAAGUCGCGGGUUGUGGGAGCGCGCACUGGUCCGUCCGCAGACGGACCGGGAAGUCACAAAGGAAAAGCUUAGCCGAACUGUGUUGGAACAGCAGGCCACAGAGGGUGAAAGCCCCGUAGGCGAAAAGCUUUUCCCUUCCCCGGCGCGCCUCCCGAGUAGGGCGGGGCACGUGGAAUCCUGUCUGAAGCUGGGCCGACCACGGUCCAAGGCUAAAUAUCGCCAGUGACCGAUAGCGAAGCAGUACCGAGAGGGAAAGGUGAAAAGCACCCCUGGCGGGGAGUGAAAUAGACCUGAAACCGCAUGCCUACGAGCAGUCGAAGCAUCGCUCUUUUUCCGCAAGGAAAAAGAGGGUGUGACGGCGUGCCUCUUGGAAAAUGAGCCGGCGAGUUGCAUUGCGUGGCGAGGUUAAGGGCGGGCUACGUCCGAAGCCGCAGGGAAACCGAGUCUAAACAGGGCGUUUAGUCGCGCGAUGCAGACCCGAAGCCGUACGAUCUACCCAUGGCCAGGAUGAAGUCCGGGUAAUGCCGGAUGGAGGUCCGAACCAGUUGGUGUUGCAAAACCUUUGGAUGAGCUGUGGGUAGGAGUGAAAAGCUAAUCGAGUACGGUGAUAGCUGGUUCUCCCCGAAACGCAUUUAGGUGCGGCCUCGAGGUAAGAAAGUGGCGGAGGUAGAGCUCUGGAUGGAUGAGGGGGGUUGUGGCCCUACCGAUUUCAACCAAACUGCGAAUGCCGCUACUGGAUCCUCGGGAGCAAGACCGUGUGGGAGAAGCUUCACGGUCGAGAGGGAAACAGCCCAGAUCGCCAGCUAAGGCCCCUAAUUCGGACUAAGUGUAGUAAGGAUGUGGGAAAGCCCAGACAGCCAGGAGGUUGGCUCAGAAGCAGCCAUCCUUUAAAGAGUGCGUAACAGCUCACUGGUCGAGCGCUCCUGCGCCGAAAAUGUAGGGGGCUCAAGUCCGAAGCCGAAGCUGCGGGCUUUUUCUUUUAAAAGAAGAAGCGGUAGGGGAGCGUUCUGCGCGGAUAGAAGUCGUGCCGUGAGGCGCGGUGGACUGCGCGGAAGUGAGAAUGCCGGCAUGAGUAGCGAAAAGGCGCGUGAGAUUCGCGCCCGCCGGAAGCCUAAGGUUUCCUGGGGAAGGCAUUCCUCCCAGGGUUAGGCGGGACCUAAGGCGUAGCCGAAAGGCGAAGUCCGAUGGACAGCCGGUAGACAUUCCGGCCCCACCCUGAUGACGUCAUUACCGAUGGGGUGACGCAGGGGGCUAGGCGCGCUGGGCGAUGGAAGUCCCAGUCCAAAGGCGUAGAGGGAAGGUCCAGGCAAAUCCAGACCUUCAUAACCUCAAGGCCCUAUGGGGAGCCCCUACGGGGGCGAAGGCGCUGACGCCGCACUGUUAAAAAAAGCCUCUAGGGAGGAGUCAGGGUGCCCGUACUGCAAACCGACACUGGUAGGCUGGCUUAAAAAGCUAAGGCGCACGGGAUAACCCUCGCUAAGGAACUUUGCAAGUUGACCCCGUAACUUAGGGAGAAGGGGUGCCCCCAUCAGGUGAAAAAGGCUUGCCCUUAUUAGCCGAAGGGGGUCGCAGAGUCAAGGCCCAGGCGACUGUUUAAUAAAAACACAGGUCUCUGCUCAAGGCCAAAAGCCUAUGUAUAGGGACUGACGCCUGCCCGGUGCUGGAAGGUUAAGGGGACCCGUCAGCGCAACUUAUGUUGCGCGAAGCGGGAAACCGAAGCCCCAGUAAACGGCGGCCGUAACUAUAACGGUCCUAAGGUAGCGAAAUUCCUUGUCGGGUAAGUUCCGA